CUGGUUGAUCCUGCCAGUAGUCAUAUGCUUGUCUCAAAGAUUAAGCCAUGCAUGUCUAAGUAUAAGCAAUUUAUACAGUGAAACUGCGAAUGGCUCAUUAAAUCAGUUAUCGUUUAUUUGAUAGUACCUUACUACUUGGAUAACCGUGGUAAUUCUAGAGCUAAUACAUGCUUAAAAUCCCGACUGUUUGGAAGGGAUGUAUUUAUUARAUAAAAAAUCAAUGUCUUCGGACUCUUUGAUGAUUCAUAAUAACUUUUCGAAUCGCAUGGCCUUGUGCUGGCGAUGGUUCAUUCAAAUUUCUGCCCUAUCAACUUUCGAUGGUAGGAUAGUGGCCUACCAUGGUUUCAACGGGUAACGGGGAAUAAGGGUUCGAUUCCGGAGAGGGAGCCUGAGAAACGGCUACCACAUCCAAGGAAGGCGGCAGGCGCGCAAAUUACCCAAUCCCGACACGGGGAGGUAGUGACAAUAAAUAACGAUACAGGGCCCUUUCGGGUCUUGUAAUUGGAAUGAGUACAAUGUAAAUACCUUAACGAGGAACAAUUGGAGGGCAAGUCUGGU
rnacentral:rRNA from 1 species